GAAACCAAAGAUAAAAUAUGUAAUGUCAAUAAUCGCUCUCGGAACGAUCAAAUUCACUGCGGUUGCAAACGCUGUAAAAUACGACGUGUCUAAAUGAGAAAACUGUAAUACACAGAGUCGAUGAGUUCGAGAUUAGUGACGCUGGAAGGACAUAAAGAAAAAACGAAAAAUGCCGGGCACUCUGACGUAUCCAAUCUACGUUGGUGUUGAUUCACACCCACCCAGAAGACGCGCCCAUACAUGGACCGCACAACAUCGUUCUGCAUCACGUGUGGCAGAAAUCAAUUCGCAAUUUGAUCGAAUGUCCCUGUCGGAAUCUGUGAGAGACGAAACUAGCAAGUUGAGGUUAAAAGUAAUGGCUGGGCAUCACUUAGCUAAGAAAGAUAUUUUUGGUGCAAGCGAUCCCUAUGUACGCGUGGACUUGAACACAAUAAAUGGCGAUCAGACAGUGGAUUCUGCACUUACAAGAACUAAGAAGAAGACAUUGAAUCCUGUCUGGGAAGAAGAAUUUAUAUUUAGGGUUAAACCAGUAGAACAUAAAUUGGUUUUACAAGUUUUUGAUGAAAAUAGAUUGACAAGGGAUGAUUUUCUUGGUAUGGUUGAGUUAACAUUGAUUAAUUUACCAAAGGAACAAGAAGGUCGCUCUAUUCCUGCUAGGAAUUAUGUACUUCGUCCACGUAGUAAUCAUUCCAGUCAGCGGUCACGAGUUAAGGGAACGUUGGAACUGUAUCAUGCAUACAUUUCUGACUCAUCGAGUAUUGAAAAUGACAACGGAGAUGUAUCUGAUUCAGGCGGAUGGGAAUUAGUACAGCCAGAGAAUAACAGUCCAGUAGAGCAAAGUGCAGAUAUUACGAUAGUCAAUAGGCCCUUACCACCGGGCUGGGAAGAAAGACAGGACGCAAAUGGCCGGACAUACUAUGUUAAUCAUAUAGCGCGUUUCACACAAUGGGAACGACCAGAACCAGAUACAACAGCGACGAGUGGAAUUGUUGAACAACGUAAUUUGGAUACAGCAGCUACUGAAUUUCAACGACGAUUUCAUAUUAGUGCCGAUGAUGAAGGUAGACAUAGGAACUCUGUAGUAAAUCAGGAUGGUGAAGUUCUACGCGAGGACGAUGAAGAUUCGGAAGCAAGAGAUUGUGAGGGUGGGGAUCAUAGGGGAGGGGGUAUUGGGGAUACUUCUUCAGACUCCGGACGUUCUGUUGAUCAACGUGGCUACCUUAGUGAAUCUGAAGAACAGACUGAUGAUAACAUCGACAGUCCGGCUGGUUCGAGACGUUCAUCAGAGCAGAUUGAUAGUCCCAAACCUACUCUUCCUGUGUCUAAUGACGAAGGAUUGCCUCCUGGUUGGGGCAUGCAAGUAGCACCUAAUGGUAGAAUAUUUUUUAUUGAUCAUAAUGAGAGAGCGACAACCUGGAUUGAUCCCAGAACGGGAAGACCAAGCUCUAUACCUAAUAAUAUUGCACCAUCAACGACAUCGAGAAGUGAUUUAGAUCAAUUAGGACCACUUCCAGAAGGAUGGGAGGAAAGAGUACAUACAGAUGGACGAAUCUUCUUUAUAGAUCAUAAUACACGAACAACACAAUGGGAAGAUCCACGUAUGUCUAAUCCUCAAAUUGCUGGCCCGGCUGUACCAUAUUCAAGAGAUUACAAGCGUAAAUAUGAAUAUUUGAAAUCACAAUUGAGAAAGCCUAAUAAUGUUCCUAAUAAGUUUGAGAUAAAAGUUGGCCGAAAUAAUAUUUUGGAAGAUUCAUAUCGUAUUAUAAGCUCUGUUAACAGAGUUGAUAUUCUAAAAACAAAAUUAUGGGUAGAAUUUGAAGGAGAGGUAGGCUUAGAUUAUGGUGGCCUUGCAAGAGAAUGGUUCUUCUUAUUGUCUAAGGAAAUGUUUAAUCCAUACUAUGGACUCUUUGAGUAUUCUGCAACUGAUAAUUAUACACUGCAAAUUAAUCCUUGUUCUGGUGUAUGUAAUGAGGAGCAUUUAAAUUACUUUAAGUUUAUUGGGCGCAUAGCAGGAAUGGCUGUUUAUCAUGGCAAGCUUUUGGAUGCUUUCUUUAUUCGACCAUUUUAUAAAAUGAUGUUGGGUAAACCAAUUGAUCUGAAGGAUAUGGAAAGCGUUGAUUCUGAAUAUUACAACUCGCUUUUAUGGAUUAAAGAAAAUGAUCCUAGUGAAUUAGAACUCACUUUCAGUCUCGACGAAGAAAGCUUUGGUCAUACAUCCCAAAGAGACUUAAAGCCAGAUGGUGCUAAUAUUCCUUUGAUCGACGAAAAUAAGGACGAAUAUAUAAGUUUAGUUAUACAAUGGCGGUUUGUAUCUCGCGUACAGGAACAAAUGAAUGCCUUCUUGGAAGGUUUUAACGCUCUUAUACCACCAACAUUGGUAAAAAUAUUUGAUGAACAUGAACUGGAAUUGUUAAUGUGUGGUAUACAGCAUAUUGAUGUGAAAGACUGGAAACAAAAUACUUUAUAUAAAGGAGACUAUCACGCAAACCACAUUGUUGUACAAUGGUUUUGGAGAGUCGUUUUGUCAUUCAGUAAUGAAAUGCGUUCUAGAUUAUUACAGUUUGUAACCGGUACAUCACGUGUUCCAAUGAAUGGAUUCAAAGAACUUUAUGGAAGUAAUGGACCGCAAUUAUUUACAAUUGAGAGGUGGGGUACACCGGAAAAUUAUCCAAGAGCUCAUACUUGUUUUAAUCGUAUUGACCUUCCUCCGUAUAAAAGUUAUCAACAACUCAGGGAUAAGCUAGUUAAAGCAAUUGAAGGUUCUCAAGGCUUUGCUGGAGUCGACUAGCACGAAAUACCUUUGUUCAUGAUGAUAUCUGUAAUAUAAUGUAUAUAUUACAUAUACCUUAUAGAGGUGAUAUCAUUAAUAAUACCUUGCUUGUUCUUCUGAGUUGAUAAUGACUUGAGGAUAUACGUUGCAUUUAGGAAGUAUAAUUGUAUACAGUAAAUGAAGUAUAACAAGUUGAUUGUUUUUCAGAAAUCUAAAUCGUGUAUAUUUUGUCAAUAUUCAGAUGCAACAAAACUCAAUAGUCUCGCAUAGUCUCGAAAAUAAUUUAAUUAUUACCUCCUUGUUAAUAAUCGAAAAUGACGAAAUUAGUAUCAGAUAUGAAUGCCUAUCUUGUAUUAUAACAUUUAUUCACAGAAUUAACAUACAUUCUGAAGGAUAUGGAGUUAAUAUAACAUUCCAUCCUGUUUGUACAGUUUAUUUUAUUGUAAACAGGUACGUCCCGUUAGAUAAUAAAUAAUAUUGUCAUGACAGAAAUUUUGUGGCCUUAAAUUCUGGUUAUGAAAUUUCUUAUUUUAAUAAGUCUCUCGUUCGUAAAAUCUAGAUUUGUAUAAUAGUAAAGUGCGCUAAUUAUUCGUUAAAAGAAUAUCAUUUGGUAUUUCUUCAUCUUCAUAUUAGAUUUGCAGAGCGAUAUAUAUAAGCUUAUAUUUAAUAUGUUAGUAUUUCCUAGCUUGGGAGAUGACAAGUUGUAUUCAGUGUAAUCUAAUAUGUUAUGAAGUGCGUUUAAGACCUUAAGCUCGUUAAUGGAGCAAUGAACAACCAGCGCGCAAUCUAAUCUUCAUAAAUUAAAGUUAAGAUCGGAUAAAGAGGAAGAUUGUCAUUAUGCACGUACAAUGCAGUGUUCUCUGAGUCUGUCUUUCAAAACUGGUGAUUUUAUAUUAAUACUUAAAAUCUAUUCUUUCUUAAUAAUAUAAUCGUGUAUCAACAAGAUUGGUUCACUUAAUUUAUUUCAAAAUAUGACAAGCACGCAUGUAUGCGUUCGUUUAAUGUACAAUAUACAUAUCAUAUGAAUUUCAUGAUUUGCAAAUAGUAUGGUGAAACAAUAAGUAAUACAUGUAAUUAACAUUAGAUGGACUUAUAGAAUAUUGUCAUAAUGUAAUGCAGACGAUGCGAGAGACACGUAAAUUUUUGUAAUCAAGUUUGAGUAUGUUCUGUUGUAGCUUCUUGUAUUAUAUUCUUAUAUAAAAAAAAAUCAUAAAUACGAAAAAGCAGUAUAUGAACGAUAAGAUAUCUAAUGAAUUUAAUAAUCGCGUUUGGUAUCCUAUGUAUCGCAUAAACAUUUUUACAGACAGACACAGAGUGUUAAAAUUGUAUUUAUUUGUAAAUCGACGAUAUCAAAAAGAAGAUUUAAAUGUAGGUAUUAUCAGAUAGAUAUUCUAUUUGAAAAUAACCGCAUUUAUGCUUGAUCUAUAUAAAUAUCCCGUAAAACUUAAUGCCUUACGAUAAUUAUAUCACGCAUUAGAAUAUAUCUACUUAAUGUUUGCAUUAUUAUUUACUGAUGUACGUUGACUUUAUUAUCGCGUCAGGUAGCUAUUGUUUGACAGUAUACACUUUAAGUGUCUUUAUCUAUAUGUCUAUACUUUCACUACCAAUGCCUUAUUUAAUUUAGGACGGAAGGAGACUUAAUUGUUUUAAGCUAGCUCAAUGUGGUAUACAACACGUUUUAUUUACAUAUACUUACAUGCACGAACUGAAAGAAAUGCGUGACUUAAUUACGUUGUAUUCGUGUAAAUAUAAAU